rnacentral:misc_RNA from 1 species
UCAACCCUCAAGCCCCCCCGGGGGCAUGGUGUUGGGGGACGGCCCCGCCCCGCGCGGUCUGGCCGCCCCCGAAAUGCAGUGGCGACCCCGCCGCAGCCUCCCCUGCGUAGUAGCUAUACAACUGGAAACCUCGCACCGGAGAGCGGCGCUGCUCAGCCGUGAAACCCCAACUUCUGAAAGGUUGACCUCGGAUCAGGUA